CACCGCGGGGCUCUGAGCGCUGCUGAAUGUGCGCGGUGUGUGCGCCGGGACAGGAUAAAGGCCAGUCAAGCAUAGCACCUCACCUUCCAACGUUUUAGCGCUGUGUCUUUUCACUUACACAGCCCGAUUGUCUGAAAUAUGUCACGGGAGAAAUGCUGAUGUGACCGUUCGUGCCCCAGGAAUCCAUUUACGUACUCCUUGUACACUCCAUAUACACACUGAACAGCACAGUCGUGGGGAACACACCCAUCGUAAGAGAGAACAGGCACCACCUUCCAGCUGCUGCAAACUAAAACUGCCCCUGCUAAAUGGCACCUGCCAAGAACUUUCCUCGAUAACAGCUGCAACUUCUGAAAUCAAGCUUCAGACCAGAAUGGAAGUACCAGCAAUGGGCUUGCUAAGGGCUGAGCCUCCUUCUGCCAAGAAUGAAGCCUUUAUCAUGGUUGCUGUACUGAAAAGCGAGACAUAGGAAUUUCCUAGGUCUACCUGUCAACAGCAGGAUAUAUUCCCAGAAAAUCAAUUAUCCAUGUAAGCAAAAAUAUCACGGAGAUUAAAGACCAUAUGAAAGAGAAAGCACAGCUCUCCUUUCACAACACUGUGAAUCAAGAGUAACUUCACUGAAGCCAACGAGUUACAGUGGUGUGAGUAAGAAAAGAACCAGCUCUGUUGUCUGAAAAUUACUCGGGCCACCCAUGGAGU